GGGCAUUUGCUAGGCGGGAAGCACUGCGCGUGCGCAAUAAGAUCUGCUGAAGCUGCUGCCUCCUGGCAUAAGAGCAGAAGUUUAUUCUGUUGGAUCAUCUGACUUCCAGUCUGACUGAAUUUCUGACCAGGUCUCGGAACUUUGUUUUCAUUCAAUCCACAAAUGCCCCCAGAGGAUAACAUAUACCUGCAUGGAGACAAACCCAUCUGGCUCAUCUUUACCCUACAGACUUCAAAAUCUCUUUCUGAACAAGCCCUUUCAUCGCCAAUGAGAUAUUACCCCAGGAGCUUGCUGGAAUCUACCCUCCCUUUCAUCCGAAACCUUUCUCAGUCAAGGCAAUAGAAGUUCAUUGCUGCCUGUGCCUCCCUGCUGAGUUGAUGAACUGUAAUGGUCAGAGAUCGCACCAACAUAGAAGUAUAUCAGAGGCAAAGCCUAGGAAAAUUAAGAGUUUAAAUUAUCUUCCACAUGUCCUGCGUCCCACUAAAAUGAAUCCAACCCACAGGUCACUUGGGCAGAAAUGUCCAUGUCAGGAUGGCACAGUAAAUGAAGCUGCAAAAUAA